rnacentral:lncRNA from 1 species
UCUUCUUGGUCAUUUGUACAAGUAAGAAGUGUUGUUUGCUUUGAUAUUCCACUCCUCUAAUCACCUCUUGUGUGUGUCCACUUUGGUUGAGAGGGUUGUCUCAAUAGUACCAAAGUGUGAGGAAAGGUUUGUGAGCUCAACCAUAAAGCUCUGUUUGGUUUUAUAGAGUUUCCAGGAAAACUCUUAGGUGUGAGUCUACCUGUAAAAGACUGGUUCCUAAGCGAAGUAGCCUUAAAGCUUAGAGAGGUUCUUAAGAGUGCCCUGUAAUACUCUAAGGUGUGAGUCUACCCGUAAAAGACUGGUUCCUAAGCGUAGUAGCCUUAAAGCUUAGAAAGGUUUUUAAGAGUUCCUUGAAUACUCUAAGGUACUAACUUACCCGUAAAAGUUAGAGGUUCUUAAGAGUGCCCUGUAAUACUCUAAGGUGUGAGUCUACCCGUAAAAGACUGGUUCCUAAGCGUAGUAGCCUUAAAGCUUAGAAAAGGUUUUGCCAUUACCUUUAGGCGAGUGAAAUCCGACAGUGGGUCGGGACUGGACUAGCCCGUGUUUGGGUGAACCAGUAUAAAUCUCUUGUGUUGUUCUCUGUUAAUUUUAGUUCUAUCUUUUGCUUAAAAACAACACCUAAUUAAAAAGAUCCCUCUUCCAGUUAUCUGGUCAAGAACAGAGGUUGACUACUUUACGCAGAUCCCUCAUCCAGUUAUCUGGUCAACUAUCUGAGGUUACAUUCAUUGUUUUAAAUCCUUAUAUUUUACUUAUCAUAUUUAUCCAGUUAUCUGGUCACUUACUUGUUUAUCAAAUUAUCCAGUUAUCUGGUCACUUACUUACUUGUCAAUAUAUCCAGUUAUCUGGUCAUUUAUUUACGCAUCAAUUUAUCCAGUNNNNNNNNNNNNNNNNNNNNNNNNNNNNNNNNNNNNNNNNNNNNNNNNNNNNNNNNNNNNNNNNNNNNNNNNNNNNNNNNNNNNNNNNNNNNNNNNNNNNGAUAUACCUUACGAUUCACGCAUCAAUUUAUCCAGUUAUCUGGUCAUUUACUCUACAAUACAAUUUGUGUUUUAAAUAUAACUUAGUAUUCAUAUACUAUAGUUGUGUUUGAAACAUUAUCAAGAAAGUUGACUCAGUAUUCAUAUACUGUAGUAAGCUUCAAAGAGUAAUACUUACAUUAUUAUUAAUAAUAAUAUCUUUAUAUCAUUACUGUUCAACCAUUUGUUUAUUGAGUAUUUACAGGUAAUUCCGCUAUCAACCUGUAUAAAUCGAAAAGAGGCUAUCACCCCCCCUAUAGCCUCGGAUCACGAUCCAACAAGUGGUAUCAGAGCCAAGUUCCGUUGAAGUCAGACUAACAUCUUACAACAACAACUAUGGCUUCAAAUGGUGAAAACAGUACGGGUCUUGCAUCAAACAAACCUCCCAGGUUCGAUGGAGUAAAGUAUGACUUCUGGAAGAAUAAGAUGAAGUUAUACUUAAAGUCAAUCAACAAUGGAGUCUGGAAAAUCGUAUUGGAAGAUUAUGAGAUUCCAACAAGCAAAGAAGAGACUUGGGGAGCCAUGGAUAUCCUCAAGGAAAACAACAACUCAAGAGCAUUGAAUGCAUUAUAUGGUGCUCUCAAUGAAUCUGAGUACAGCAGAAUUCGAUGCUUGGAUACAGCUCACAAGGUCUGGAAAGCUUUGGAGGAUUUACAUGAAGGAACCUCCCAUGUCAAGGAAAAUAAGCUACUACAUGCCACUUUUCAGUUCGAAAGAUUCUCUAUGAGGGAAGAUGAGACUAUCGCAGAAAUGAACAUUCGACUAUCACAAAUAGUCAAUGAUCUGGCUGGAUUAGGGGAUCCAGUAACUGAGAAAAAGCAAGUGAGCAAGAUUCUAAGAAGCCUUCCAGACAAAUACUACUCAAAGAGGAAUGCUAUCCAAGAAUCUCAUGAUCUGAACAAACUCACAGUGGUAGAACUUUGCGGAAAUCUGAUGGCCUAUGAAGAAGAAAGAUUUGUCUCUAGAGCAAAAGAGGAGAAAAAGGACAUUGCUCUUAAAGGUCAAAGCGAAAAUGAAUCAUCUGAUGAUGACUUGGCAAUGCUCACAAAACAUCUAAAGAGAUAUCUCAUAAAAAGGAAAGAAAAGAGAAAUUCAAGGAUAAACUAUCAGAAUUCCGACAAAAGGGUGAGUGAAAACCUCAAAGACUCAAAGGAGCCCAUCUGCUACGAAUGCAACAAACCUGGACACAUCAGACCUGAAUGUCCUCUACUAAAGAAAGAAAAAGCACAUCAAGUACACUGGUCAGAUUCUGAGUCAGAUCAAGAAGACUGCCUCAUGGCUCAUGAGAAUGACUCUGAGGUAAAUUUUACAAAUACUAGAUUUAAUUCAUUAGAAGAAGCAUUUCUAGAAUUAAUGGAUAAAUAUAAAGCUGAGAAAAAAUUAAAUAAAUCAUUAAAACUAGAAUGCAUGAAUAGACCACAUAUUGAUCAUUCAAUAGAAUUAGAAGAAUCACAAAAAGAAUGCAUGCUAUUAAAGGAAGAAAAUCAUAAACUCUUAAGUAAAAUAGAAAAGGGAAAUGAAAAAAUUAAAACACUUAAGAGUCAAAAUUUUGAAUUACUUGAUAUUCUAGAAUCUGAAGAAAAAGAAUCAAAUGAAAUAAAUGAUGAUAGGAUUGAAUUGUUAGAACUAAAAAUAGAUAAUUUUGAGGAAACCAUUAGAAAUAAAGAAAAAGAAACUAUCAUGCUUAAAACUGAAAUAGAAUCUAAGGAUAAACUCAUACUUGAGCAUGAAGAAACUUUGAAAAAAUUAUCUGAAAAAUAUAAUAGCAUGCAAUUAGAAAUUAAAAGAAUAAAUGAGAAAAAUAGUGUUCUUCAGAAAUUCUCAAAUAGUUCAUCAAAGUUAAAUAAUUUAUUACAAGGCUCAAACUUGGGUCAAAAGAAAUUUGGCUUAGGGUUUGAGUCAAAUACACCUAGUAACAAAACCCUAAAUGCCACAAUUUAUAAUGAUCAUUUUGUAAGGGAAUCUAGUUAUACAAAACCUUUGCAUGCUUCAAGAUACAAUAAUCAUUAUAGCAAUACAAAGUUCAUUCAUCUUAAGAAAAAGAAAAAUCACUCUAAGAUGAAUCGUCCAAAACAAAAAUGGAUGACUAAGGAUGAGCUAAGAGAUUAUACACAAAUUAGGUAUACUAAUCCAUUCGGACCCAACUUAGUAUGGGUACCAAAGAAUUUUUUUCUUUCAGGUAAAGCAUGUGUCAAAAUGAAUGGUCGACAAUGGAUGCACAAGGCACAUGACCGGGGAAUCAAGUCUACUAAACGACUUGAUAGACUUACCUCCUACUAAAAGGGUUAAGGUACAAUAGUAGGUAGGGGUAAUGUAGGAAAUAUAGAAAAAUUAUUCUUAAGAAAUGUAUAUUUAGUAAAUGGUCUAAAAACACAACCUGAUUAGCAUAAGUCAAUUAUGUGAUAUUGGUUGUGUAGUAAAAUUUAAAAAUACAAUUGUUUUAUCACUAACUCUGAGGGAGUUAUCAUUGCCAUAGGACAUAGAAAAAGCAAUGCUUAUUCUAUAAAAAUUUGAUAGAAUCCCUACACGUUGACUUUAAUGAGUCCAUCUCUGCUCAAAAGAAGGAGGAGUUAAAGUCAUACCAUCUGACACUCCCAUAGAAAGAGAUGAUCAGAAAAUAAUCAUCUCUGAACAGGCAUCAAAUAGGAAACUCAGAUCCCGCAAAACAAAUCAUUGGAGAUCAACACAUAUCCUAGAGUGUUUUGUAUCUCAAAUAAAGCCUAAAUAGAUCUAUGUAUGCAUGCCUAGCAAAUGUUACAAUAUUAUGCAUAUACACACAUGUGGUCCUUAAAGAUAUGUUUUAAGCUUAGCAUAAUACUAUAAGAAAAUGAAUCAUAUGCAUACAUGAUAGUCAAACAGUUGGUUUUGACUUACGUGUAUAAUUAUUUAGCUUACACAUAUAUAAUUAAGAAAAUUAUAAAAUUAAUUCUACAUCAAUUGAUUAUCGUUGAAUAAUGUUAUGAAUUUUCUCAAGCUCAUAAACUAUACUCAAUCAUAAGCCUUUUCUUACUCAAUGCAUGAAAACUAAGCUCAUACAUAUCUGUUUCAUGUAUUGAUAAAUAUAUGCAUAUAAAAUUAACAUGAUCUAAUACAUGCUUUUAUCAUUCACAUUUUAAAGCUCUACACGCACAUAACUCAAUAGUAAGAUCUAAAUGCAUGUCUGCCAUAUCAAUCAUAUUAAUGCAUUUCCACCCAUUGAUUUAUAUGCUUCUGAAAAAUAUGUGAUCCGAUAAAUGCUUGGUUUAUAAAAUCCUCUAUGAAAUAUUUAACUGAAACAAUUAGUUAUAUACUAUGCUUCCAUUCUACAUAUCAUAUGCACUCAUCAUGCAUCAAACAAUUGAUUAUCUGUGGAUAAUGCCCUCAUGUUAAUGUCAUCCUAUGCAUAUCUGUCUUACACCUGUAUGCUUAUGAUCUUUUGAUUAACACAUGCAAAGCAAAAUACAUGCAUACAAGAUGAACACUCAAAAAGUGUUGACUCAUGUCAUGUCACCACGAAUUUACAUGAAUAUGCAAAUCUAUAUAUCUAUCCUAAAGAACAGGUGGGACAGGCAAACAUGCCAAUUGUCAAAAGUAUGACAAAUCUCCUUGAAAACCCAAACAUUCUCGACGUUGGUGAAAGAACUUCCAAGCUAACACCUGCACACCAGCAACAUUGGAAUUGAAGAUUCAGCCACCAUCUCCAACACAUCCAUCACUUGUGACUCUAUCCAGAGAAUGACCUGCAAAGAAGCCCCUCGCAACAAGUGCUGACAAAAGACAAAUCCUUGCUCUUGCACACAUCAAUCCUCAUCUGCAAAAUCAAAAUAUCAGCUGCAAAAGCCUAAGCAUGGAAGAGUGUGAAAGAUGUGUUGGACUACUAAAAAGGUAUGAUCUAAAUAGUUAAAUAAAUAGUCUUUCAAAAACAAAUAUUAACUUAUUAAACAAAAUCCCUAGAUAAAUCUAAAUGAUUUGACUCUCCAAGACAUGUGUCAUGGAGUAUUGAAAAACAAACCCUAAAUUACUAAUUCUACACGGGUAGACAUGACUUAAAGCUUGUCAAGCUUUACAAGUUAAAAAUCUGGACAGACAAGAUCUGCCAAAAGGAAGAACAAUCACACCUUCUUCUUCUUCUUCUUUCUCCUAAUAGGGUUUAUUGGAAAGCAAACCCUAAAAGCCAACCAUUCAAAAGUUAAACACAAAAUUGGCUUGAUCACAUGAAGAGAUCUACAAGCUGUAUUAGCUAAUCUGAAUUUAUCCAAAUGCAGAACUGAUUGACAUCUAAAAGGAAAAGAUUUCUGUCUAAGAAAUAUUGAAAUGUUUGAAUCUUUUCAAGAUUCACCAAGCAACGUUUAGGAAAUCAAACCCUAAAGCUGCUGACCUUCAAAAGUUAGACAUGACUUAAAGAUGUCUUCAUUACUUGUAACUCCACAAGUAAUAUCAGUCUAUAAAGAUUCUGGACAGACCAUUUAGAUAAGCUUAAGGUGAAUCAAAUCACUAUAUAAGCAUAGGAAGAGAAACAAAUCGUAUCAUCUUUUUCCAUCUUAAAAUCCAUUCUGUCUCAAACAUGUUGAUUGAAGAAAUCAAUCCAGAGAAGAGGGAGCUCACAAUCAUACCAGACUGUCCUUCCAGUCCAGUAUACAACCCUAAUCCCUCAAGCAGCAAUGUCAUCCGGAAGAAACGCUCUAGGAGGAUUCCAGUGUCAGAGAUGUUUCGGGGAACACCAACUUGGGUCUCUUCAAUAGCUAAGUUCUCCUAUGAUCUCAUUCUCGAGCAAAGAAUGAUCUUUGAGGAACCUGUUCUACUCAGAUCUCUCAACUGCAGGGUGAUUGAAGGGCUACUGAACUUCAAUAGGCUUACUGACUAUCUUGAGAACAUAGGGCAACUCAGAAUCUACAAAUCUGAGUUGGCUCAGUUCUAUGCGAAUCUCAAGUAUGAAGCAGCAGGCUCUCAAGUGAUCACCACCACAGUAAAUGGAAUACCUCUCAUUCUAGGAGCUGAUAAACUUGGACUAUGGAUAAACCUGCCCAACAAUGGAGUGAAGCUUCAAAAUUACAGAAGGCUGGAUGAGCUACCUUUCAAGUGCAGCUGGGAGAUUCUCUGGAACACUCUCACUCACAGGUAUAACCCUAAGAGCACUGAUAGAAUCCUAAAGACAAUGCUCAUACCAGAAGCUUCAAUUUUUCUGAAGAUCAUCUCAUACAACAUUUAUCCUCAAGUUGAAGAUAGAGAAGAACCAUCAACAUCUAUCUUAGUAGCAAUCUACUGUCUGCUGUCAAAAAUUAGAGUGAACUGGGUAUCACUAAUCAUGCACAAUAUGGCUACAUCAACCAAGAACACUGGAGCUCGUUACUACCCAAGGAUGAUUUCAAAAUUACUCAGUCCAGGGUACUUUGGAAUUCCACUCUAUCCUCAUCCUAUCAUCUCUCACAUCCAGCCAUUCACUGCAAGCUCUUUCCAAAAGACUUGGAGGAACACCUAUGAUCCAAACUCACCAAACACUAAUGUGUUUCUGAAUGAAGAAGUCAUAAGAGUUAGACAUCAAGUAAGGAUGCUGGAGAAAGGAAUGGGAGAUCUGGAAGAGAUGGUUUCUUUGACAAGGCAACAGCUAGAUGAUGAAAGGGAGUACAACCUGGAGCUUGCAACUCUAUUUCACGAGUUUAGCUCCAAGAUCAUUCCAACCAUGCACCACCAUGACUGAACUACUUUUGCCCUAAGAAGUUUGUUUUGAUAUUUUUAGUACUUAAUCUUGUGUAUGUUUUUCUGCUAUUUUGGAGAUCCAUUCAUGGAUCGUAGUCUCAUUGAAUAUGAGAUUAAUCUAGUAAUGUAUCACCUCUUUUGUUGAAAUGGAAGAAGUUCUAUGAUUUUAAGUUUAUCAACAUAAGGGUAUGCAUGCAUAAAGAAAAACAUAAUGUUAGAAAUAUCAAAAACUUAAGGGCUGCAUGGAUCUUUGGUUAAUACUUUAGGGCAUAAUUAAAAUUAUUUUGAAGUAUUAAUCAACUUUAAACUUCAAGGGAUUAAGCAUAAAAUAUUUUUGAAGUUUAAAAAGAUUUACUGAAAAUUUAAGGGUUAAAGGUAUAUUUUUCCAGUAAAUAUAGAAUUCUAUGAAACUUCAGGGACUUAAAUGAAAAUCAUUUGUGAAGUUUCUAAGUUUAAAAUAAUUCACUGAAAGCUUAAGGAUCAAAAAAAUAUAUUUUUCAGUGAAUAUAAAUUUAGCCAAAACUUCAGGGACUUAAACGAAAAUCGUUUAUGAAGUUUUAAGUUUCAAUGGAAUCACUGAAUACUUAAGGAUCAAAAUUAUAUUUUCAGUAAAUAUAAAUUUAGUUAAAACUUCAGGGACUUAGAAUCAAUAUUUACAUGAAGUUUUAAUCAAAAAUUACUUAGAAAUAUUCAAUACUUCCAAGGUUUAAAAUAAUAUUUUUUUUAAAGUAUUGAUCUAAGUAUAACUUCAAAGAGAUUAAAUUAUCUAUGAAGUUAUUCAUUAAGGGUUCAAAGGAUAUUUUUACAGUGAACACUUCAGGGACUCAAAAUUAAUAUUUACAUAAAGUUUUCAAUGCUUAGAAUUGGUUAAUACUUUCAAGGUUUACAUGAAAUAUUUCAAGUAUUAAUCUAAGUAUUUAUGAAAUUUUAUUUUAAGUAAAGUUUUACUACUAAGGCUUUAAGGACUGAAAUGAAAAUUUUAAAUCUUUUAAAACUUAGUGAAUAUUUACAUGAUUAUAUUUGUCACUAAGACAUAGAUUUUAAAAUUUUAAAUGCUCAAUUUUUCCUUAAAGCAAUUAGUGAAUAUUAUGCACUAAUAUCUCAUGGAUUAUAAUAAAAUCUUUAAUCCAUACAUGUUAAGAUCAUCUUCAUCCAUAACACACACAUGGAUUAUUAUUCAUUGCAUGAUCUUAGCACAAGGCAAUCUAAAUUAUCAUAUCAUACUUGCCUUAUAAUGUAUAUCAAAAUUGACUUCAAUAUUUUAUCAAUGAGCAUAAAUUACAUGUUAUUUCUCCUUUAUGAUUGACUAAUACUCUUAUAAGCAAGACGUCACAUUUGGUCAACCACACAAAUCGAAUUUGUGAUUAAAGCUCAAUGAGGUAUGAAAUUUUAUUUUCUCCACAAAUUAGAUAUGUCCUAUCAUUAAGGGGGAGAUACUUCACAGGUAUCUAUUUUUAACUUUGUCGAUACCUUAUUGUUUUAAGGGGGAGAAAUCAUGCAUGAUCCACUGGUUUUAAAUUGAAUAUUAUGGGUCAAUAAUUCAGGGGGAGCAUGCUCAUAAGGGUAAAAUAGAAUAUUGACUAGACAUGAGUUAAAACAUAUAUGCCAUCGACAAAGGGGGAGAAUGUAGAAUCAAAAUUGUCGACAUAGGAUUAUAUUUUAAUCAUGUCAAUUUAAACCCUAAUUACACUAUUAAUCAAUAGGGGUUAAAUAAGCCAAUCGAUAUUAAACCUAACUCUAGUUAAUUCAUUAAUCAUUUGAGUUAAGGGUUUAAGUCAAAGUUAAAAGUCAAAGUGGGAGAAUUGCAUUUUCAUCUUGAAUAUUAUUAAUUGGGAGAAUUGCAUUUUCAUCUUGAAUAUUAUUAAUUAGGAGAAUUGCAUUUUCAUCUUGAAUAUUAUUAAUUGGGAGAAUUGCAUUUUCAUCUUGAAUAUUAUUAAUUGGGAGAAUUGCACUUUCACCUUGAAUAUUAUUAUUUGGAAUAAUUGCAUUUUACCUUGCAUAUUAUUAUUAUUAUUAUCUUGUGACACUUUAUUCAAGGUAUAAUAUUCCAAGGAGACAAAACACUAUUCAAGUUUGAAUUUACAAAGAUAAGAUUCUCCAACAAAGACAAGGAGACAAAACACUAUUCACUAUUCAANNNNNNNNNNNNNNNNNNNNNNNNNNNNNNNNNNNNNNNNNNNNNNNNNNNNNNNNNNNNNNNNNNNNNNNNNNNNNNNNNNNNNNNNNNNNNNNNNNNNGGGGACAAAACACUAUCCAAGGAAAGCACUAUUCAAAGACAAAGCUUGGAUUUAUGUGAGAAAUCAAGGAGCCAUCCAUUGAAGAUCCAAGGAUGGACAUUGAGUGGCCAAGGCUAUAAAUAGAAGGGUAAUCCCCUCAUUUCCACUCACCACACCAUAAGCAAACUCAAGAGCUUCCACUCCACACUUGUCCACACGUUUUUGCCAUCAAGCUUCCAAGUGCUCAAGUGUCCUAGCUUUCCAAAGCUUCAAAAGCUCUCCAACUUCUUCUUCUAAUCCUCUUGUUCAUUUGUACAAGUAAGAAGUGUUGUUUGCUUUGAUAUUCCACUCCUCUAAUCACCUCUUGUGUGUGUCCACUUUGGUUGAGAGGGUUGUCUCAAUAGUACCAAAGUGUGAGGAAAGCUAGGUUUGUGAGCUCAACCAUAAAGCUCUGUUUGGUUUUAUAGAGUUUCCGGGAAAACUCUUAGGUGUGAGUCUACCUGUAAAAGACUGGUUCCUAAGCGAAGUAGCCUUAAAGCUUAAUUAGAGAGGUUCUUAAGAGUGUCCUUUAAUACUCUAAGGUGUGAGUCUACCCGUAAAAGACUGGUUCCUAAGCGUAGUAGCCUUAAAGCUUAGAGAGGUUUUUAAGAGUUCCUUGAAUACUCUAAGGUACUAACUUACCCGUAAAAGUUAGAGGUUCUUAAGAGUGCCCUGUAAUACUCUAAGGUGUGAGUCUACCCGUAAAAGACUGGUUCCUAAGCGUAGUAGCCUUAAAGCUUAGAAAAGGUUUUGCCAUUACCUUUAGGCGAGUGAAUUCCGGCAGUGGGUCGGGACUGGACUAGCCCGUGUUUGGGUGAACCAGUAUAAAUCUCUUGUGUUGUUCUCUGUUAAUUUUAGUUCUAUCUUUUGCUUAAAAACAACACCUAAUUAAAAAGAUCCCUCUUCCAGUUAUCUGGUCAAGAACAGAGGUUGACUACUUUACGCAGAUCCCUCAUCCAGUUAUCUGGUCAACUAUCUGAGGUUACAUUCAUUGUUUUAAAUCCUUAUAUUUUACUUAUCAUAUUUAUCCAGUUAUCUGGUCACUUACUUGUUUAUCAAAUUAUCCAGUUAUCUGGUCACUUACUUACUUGUCAAUAUAUCCAGUUAUCUGGUCAUUUAUUUACGCAUCAAUUUAUCCAGUUAUCUGGUCAUUUACUCUACAAUACAAUUUGUGUUUUAAAUAUAACUUAGUAUUCAUAUACUAUAGUUGUGCUUGAAACAUUAUCAAGAAAGUUGACUCAGUAUUCAUAUACUGUAGUAAGCUUCAAAGAGUAAUACUUACAUUAUUAUUAAUAAUAAUAUCUUUAUAUCAUUACUGUUCAACCAUUUGUUUAUUGAGUAUUUACAGGUAAUUCCGCUAUCAACCUGUAUAAAUCGAAAAGAGGCUAUCACCCCCCCUAUAGCCUCGGAUCACGAUCCAACA